rnacentral:tRNA from 1 species
AGCAGCGUGGCUUAGAGGGAAAAGCAUGGGCUUGGGAGUCAGAGGACAUGGGUUCUAAUCCCAGCUCUGUUU